GCCCGGCUAGCUCAGUAGGUAGAGCAUGAGACUUUUAAUCUCAGGGUCGUGGGUUCAAGUCCCACGUUAGGCG